rnacentral:rRNA from 1 species
UUCCGGUUGAUCCCGCCGGAGGCUACCGCUAUUGGAGUUCGAUUAAGCCAUGCGAGUCGCGAGUCUUAGGGACUCGGCGUACCGCUCAGUAACACGUGGGUAACCUGCCCUAUGCUGGGGGAUAACCUCGGGAAACUGAGAAUAAUACCCCAUAGUUCACCACGCCUGGAACGGUGGGUGGAUCAAAGCUCCGGCGGCAUAGGAUGGGCCUGCGGCGUAUCAGGUUGUAGGGGGUGUAAUGUACCCUCUAGCCCUCUACGCGUACGGGUGUUGAGAGACAUCGCCCGGAGAUGGAUUCUGAGACACGAAUCCAGACCCUACGGGGUGCAGCAGGCGCGAAAACUUGGCAAUGCGAGAAAUCGUGACCAGGGAACUCCAAGUGCAUCGGGUAAGACCGAUGCUUUUCUUGACUCUUCAAAGGUCUUGGAAUAAGGGGUGGGUAAGGACGGUGCCAGCCGCCGCGGUAAUACCGGCGCCCCAAGUGGUAGUCGCUUUUAUUGGGCCUAAAACGUCCGUAGCCGGUCUGGUACAUUCGUGGGUAAAUCAACCAGCUCAACUGGUUGAAUUCUGCGAGCACGGCCAGACUUGGGACCGGGAGAGGUGUGGGGUACUCUCAGGGUAGGGGUAAAAUCCUGUCAUCCUGAGAGGACCACCUGUUGCGAAGGCGCCACACUAGAACGGAUCCGACGGUCAGGGACGAAGCCUAGGGGCACGAACCGGAUUAGAUACCCGGGUAGUCCUAGGUGUAAACGCUGUGGACUUGAUGUUGGGGGCGCUCCGAGCGCACUCAGUGUCGAAGCGAAGGUGAUAAGUCCACUGCCUGGGGAGUACGGUCGCAAGGCUGAAACUUAAAGGAAUUGGCGGGGGAGCACCGCAACCUGAGGAUUGUGCGGUUUAAUUGGAGUCAACGCCGGA